UACGGAGGGUGCAAGCGUUAAUCGGAAUCACUGGGCGUAAAGCGCACGUAGGCUGUCUGGUAAGUCAGGGGUGAAAUCCCGCGGCUCAACCGCGGAAUUGCCCUUGAUACUGCUGGACUUGAGUUCGGGAGAGGGUGGCGGAAUUCCAGGUGUAGGAGUGAAAUCCGUAGAUAUCUGGAGGAACAUCAGUGGCGAAGGCGGCCACCUGGACCGAUACUGACGCUGAGGUGCGAAAGCGUGGGGAG
rnacentral:rRNA from 1 species